UUGAAAGGGAAACGAUUGAAGUAUACCAACGGGAGAAAACCCCCCGAGCCUGUAACGAGGGUUCGAAAGCCAAACGCCUACGGGCACGCGAGACCGGGUUCCAUGGCUACCCACUCGUACGGUUAGUCAACAUCGGUUCCGAAUGUCAUAAAACGACUGGAGGAACUAGCCUCGAUCUCGUAUCGAAUCGUUAUAGCCUCCGGUAGACGCGACGCCCGAGACCGAGGACCGCAACGGAUACCCUUUAAGGGCUAUUCGUCUGAUCUCUGAUACGUUACCUUGAUGUCGAAAGCUUGCUUAUGAUGUUAGGGUAUCACGGUCAAAAGGUUAGAACGGAUUAAAUUCGUUAAGGAUGUUGACGUA
rnacentral:rRNA from 1 species